CGCCUGUGCUGUUAGGAGCCAGAAGCCCGUUUAUUUAAUAAACUAAAUAAUAGGCUACACACUGUUAAUAGACAGCUAGUUAGGAUAGUCAGAUGACAAUGACUUUCCUUCUUCUGUUUCCAGUAAAUCAUUUCCUGAACUACCCUUCCCACUCUAAGCUUCCUUGCUUUUCUGCUGUCACUAUACUUCCUUCUUUCUUUCUGAUCCUCCUACUUACUCAAAUUUUUCUAAUCCUACUACUCACUGAGAACUGUGUCCUUCUUUCAGGAUUGAAGUUUUUGAGCUUUUUUUAGUAUUUAAGUUUUUGAGCUUUUUUGGGAUUGAACUGGCAUAGGGUGGGCCAGAUUAGGCCCCCAAAAAGGACUUUGGACAUGCCUGAUUUAGGCCCUCUGAACAGGACAGCACUGACUGCUCCAUACAGCCCUCUGACACACAACAGGACUGGAACCCAGGGCCAUUCAGUGAAGUUGAAUGUUGGAAGAUUCCGGGCAGACAAAAGAAAGUACACCACACAUUGUAAAGUAUGGAAAUUUCUCCCACAAGUUAUAGUGGUGGUCACCAAUUUGGAGGGCUUUAAGAGACGAUUAGCAAAUUCAUGGUGUAUGAGGCUAUGUUCUACCUCCACUGGGACUCACAAACAAGGGAGAGCGCCAUUAUAUCCAUGCCCUGCUUAUGGGCUUCUCACAUAGGCAUCUGGUCAGUCACAGUGAGAACAGAUUGCAGAACUAGAUGGGCCUUGGGCUUGAUCCAGCAAGGCUCUUCUUGUGUUCCUUUUGUAAAGCCAUCUUUCAAAAGUGGGAAACUUGGGUUGCUGUGACCAUCAAAGACUUGCUGAACCACAUGGGCAUUAUUCAAUUCCUAACUUUGUACAUGGAACUGAUUUCCCCUUUUGCAGGAUGCAGCAAGUGUAUGUUACAACUAAUGAUGUAGAGGCCAUCUUGGCUCUGGUCCUAGAACACCUGCUCCUAGCCUUGCAGGCCUUUUCCCAACUAGACUCGGAGAGUGGGGGCCUGACUGACUCCAGCUACAAAAGCUGAGGCUGCGGAAAAGAUUCUUGGACUGAGGUGUUGUUGCAUGGGUGCUGUUGCAGAUGGGCAGGGGGAGGUUGUUGCUUUUACUGAUUUUUUUUUGUAUCUUUAUUUUAGAUCUCAUGAUUAAUGUGGAAAUUGUUCGAUUUGAUGUUUUAUUUAUUGUUUGUGACUACUUUUGUUAUGUUGUCAUUAUCUAUUUUUUCAUGUUGUAAGCCAACCUUGAGCUUGGCUUGAAGUAUGGAAAGGUGGCAUACAAAUAAAAUUAUGUAUGUAUGCAUGUAUUGUAUGUAGUAGAAAGUAUUAAAAAGAACUACUGUU